rnacentral:rRNA from 1 species
GACGAACGCUGGCGGCGUGCUUAACACAUGCAAGUCGAACGGAAAGGCCCUGCUUUUGUGGGGUGCUGGAGUGGCGAACGGGUGAGUAACACGUGAGUAACCUGCCCUUGACUUUGGGAUAACUUCAGGAAACUGGGGCUAAUACCGGAUAGGAGCUCCUGCUGCAUGGUGGGGUUGGAAAGUUUCGGCGGUUGGGGAUGGACUCGCGGCUUAUCAGCUUGUUGGUGGGGUAGUGGCUUACCAAGGCCUUGACGGGUAGCCGGCCUGAGAGGGUGACCGGCCACAUUGGGACUGAGAUACGGCCCAGACUCCUACGGGAGGCAGCAGUGGGGAAUAUUGCACAAUGGGCGGAAGCCUGAUGCAGCAACGCCGCGUGCGGGAUGACGGCCUUCGGGUUGUAAACCGCUUUCACCUGUGACGAAGCGUGAGUGACGGUAAUGGGUAAAGAAGCACCGGCGAACUACGU